CUUUGAUGCGACCUUUUCCCCAGCGCGCGCUCACGCUGCUGGUGCCCUCGUUAGGAUUCUGUGCCGGGCAGCGGGAGGCUUUCUGCCCUUUGUCUGUUCCCACGACCCGAGCCUUUGCUGUGUCAGACUGAACCCUUUGCUUUAAUCUGUUUCGAUGUUCGAUGAGCAUGAUUUACGCACUUAAGUCUGGCCUCUAACCAAGUCAACUUUACUGCGCGUCCUGCCCCAGGGUUUCUCUGUGCUCCUCUGUUGCCCGCGGUCAGAUCUAGCCGGCCUUAUCCCGCAUCGGAAGCAUUUUAGGAAGGGUCUUUAUCACCCACUGCGCUCCCGGCAGCCUCCGUGCCGUUUCAUCUACGACUAAUGCGUUUUCUCCGCGAGAAGGCCACAGUAGUCCCGCCUUCGCCACGGUUUCACUUUCCAAGGUUUCAGUUACCUGCCGUCAACCAUGGUCCGAAAAUAUUAAAUGGAAUAGCCCAGAAAUAAGCAAUUCAUUUGUGUGUGAAUAUCCACUAUCAUUUCUCUUGGAUAAAUGCCUAGCAGUGGAAUUGCUGAGUCAUACAGUGGCAUCUCAAGCGGCCUCGUUCGUGAUUCGUGGCAUUUUUUUGAGAAGUGUGAAUUGGUGCAGCUGCAGUGGGAAGCCUGAAGCCAAUCCUGAUGGCUGGAGGGUUUGAGUCUCAUCCCCAAUUGGUCAGGGUCACGGCCAGGACUGCAGAACCCCAUACUGCUCUGGAGGCGUUACAGACCUCGCUUUCACCAGACCCCAAACAUGGUCUCAUUUUCUCAAAAAUAGAGAAACGCCUCUUUAGCAAAGAGUUUAUAAUCUACGUAAAACAAAAAUUAUCCUUCUUGGGUCAUAUCCAUGCUGGAGUCCCUGGAUAACUUAUCUCCUUUCUUUUUGCACGACGUUUUAAACACCGUAUACGCCUAGAUUGAGGAAAUUGUUUCAGAGAUGUCUCAGGAAGCACUUGGGAAGAAUACUCAGCUUCAUGUGCAGCACUUUUCACUUUAAAUACUUGGCAACCUCAUUUUAUGCAACCCCAAAUUUCCGUCUCUCCAUCCUCACAAUUUCCUUUAAUAUUAACCUCUCAAACUUUCCUCUUUGAUAUCUGCCUUAAGCACAGUUUCAUCCACCCUUUCCCUACGUGGCUUUAAUAAAUUGAAGAAGGCCUCUGUGGAAGCAUCUCCAGGCUCCAUCUGGUCCUUAGCUUUAUGCUACUUCUGCUCACCCCCCAAGCGUUCUGGCUUGUUGGGCAGAGCCCAGACAUAAUGUGGGGGUCACCAAAGAGGCUAUGUGUGAAGCAUGAAGAAAUUACUAGCCCAAAUUAACUGGAUAAUUUAAAAUUAACUUUCAUUCAUCCAUUACUUCAUCUAUUUUGGUGUCUUCCAUUUUCCUAUGUCUGUAAAGUCUCAGUGCAUUUUCUCAGUAUUCCACUUGCUGGAGAGACGGGGCAGGGCAGGUGGUGUGUAGAAACAGCUAAGCAACUGUGGGAAAAUCUUGAUGGAUAUGCUGUCAAUCUGCUUUGCUAUUUUCCCCCAGUUCUUAUUGUGGUUCUGAAUUCACUGAAACCUAAAGAGAAAUUCCUGUAUUUGACAACUGAACUAACAGCUCGACUAGGGGAAAAACACUGCCGAAAUCUGUCAAUGAACAUUGCUAACAUAUGUUGCAUUUAUAGACAGGAAGAAAACUAAACCUAGCAAGUCCUUGGAAAGAUGUGUGAGCUGGCUGACAGGUGUGACAUCUCAGCACAACAAGUGACAGCAGCACUGAGCAGUGGGCUGCGUUCAGGGAGACUUGAUUGGUCACAGAUGACAAUUCUGGCUCCCUGAGCUGUUUCUCCAGUGCCUACGAUUAAUAUCAAAUGUCAAGUAAGACUCACAGCCAGCAAUAAGAUCGAAGGUAUACUCAGUUAAAAUACCAUAGGGUUUUAGCUUCCUGUAACCCAGUCAAGCUAUCCAGACACUUCCUGGGGGAUUGUCCUCAGGAUGAAUUAGACAAGAAGAGAGCUACAAGGGUUUUCUUCCAGAAGCAAAGCUUCAAGUAGUGCACAGCAGAAACAGAUAUUUAUCACUUGCAUGAGGAAUGGUAGGAAAGGCAUUUUUUUAGCCACAAGUAUUGAAUAGGCUGGUAGAAGACUGUGAGACAGACAGA